GUGUCAGCAGCCGCGGUAAUACAGAGGGUGCGAGCGUUGUCCGGAAUCACUGGGCGUAAAGGGCGCGUAGGUGGCUGGGUAAGCGUGCGGUGAAAGCUCGGGGCUCAACCCCGAGUCGGCCGUGCGAACUGUCCGGCUUGAGCACUGUAGAGGCGGGUGGAAUUCCGGGUGUAGCGGUGGAAUGCGUAGAGAUCCGGAAGAACACCGGUGGCGAAGGCGGCCCGCUGGGCAGUAGCUGACACUGAGGCGCGACAGCGUGGGGAGCAAACAGGAUUAGAAACCCCUGUAGUCC
rnacentral:rRNA from 1 species